AUAGGAUAAUUGUCUUAAGGAAUUAACAUCUAUGGAAAAAUUAGGGCCUUGUUAAGACAUAGUGAAUACAAGUUUUGUCAAGAAUAAAGGCUAGAAAACGGAACAAGGGGACUCUAACUUGACUUGUCUUUGUCCUGGGCAGACUGCUUCUGUUCUUCUGUCUAUUGAAGUUUGAGAUGUGAUCCCUAAGUGUUUUGAGCUCUGUGGAAUAAAUGCUCAAUUCAGAAAGAGCGGGAGAAAAAAGAACUAAUUUCCUGAAGACUUUUUCCAAUCAAUCUGUGCAAUCGCCAUUCAACUGCGCUCCCAUUCCCAUAGGACAACUUCCCCAGACAGCACAUCUGCAGAGAUAAGGAUUGAGACCUGGCAAAAUAUCAGCUACUGGAAGAGAUAACAGUGAAGUAUUCCUUCUCAUCUGUAACGGGGGAAAUUCUGGGAUUCUCUCCUUUACCCUCAUGCUGUUUAGCUGAGUAAUUUUCCAGUAAUUCAGGAGCUGGCAACAGUGAAAGGCUGCAGCAGGAGCAGCACGAUGCUCUCACAACUGAAUGACUCCAGCAUAAGCAACAGGCCAGUGCAGGACAACUGCACUGCAAAAGUGACCUGAUGAGUGUCCUGAAUGUGAACAGCAGGCUGAUCUUUCCACUGUUGAAAGUGCUCCACGUGCCUUUGCACCCCUGUUUUUCUUGCUUGCUGCCUUUGAAGUCAUGUACUAUCCACCAUGAAGUCUGUUGUUUGAGACUGUGCUGACUUCCCAUCUAAUUAUUUUACUUUGGUCUAUUUUCAUGACUCUUAGAAGCAGAAUGCUGCAGUUAAAAAAAGAAAUCUGAACUGUCCAACCCUUUUUCUGUGCUGUAGCUUUCUUUGGAGAUGAUUGUCACUGAUGGAGCAUGAUGCUAUGGUAUUUGACUGUCUUUUCCAGCAGUUACCCUCUUGUUUUGUUUUGAUUCUGUGUAUGUAUUAGACCUCAACGCUUCUGUGUUCUCUAGUGUUUCUGUCAAGAACUAUUUCUUAGUUCACAUGCAUGCUUGAGUUGCAAAUCUGUCUUGAUGAGAUUGGCGUGCUAGCAGUAGAUUCUAUGAAUGCACAUGUUUUAAAAGCAAUUUCACCUGAGGAUAACAGCAGGCUGCUGUCUGGUUUUGAGAUGGACAAUCCUUGUACAGCCUAGAGAUUUUCAGUGUAGGAUUAGAACGUUGCUCAGGCUGCUCUCUUGGUGCUGUGAUUCCUUGUUGGAGUUGAAACUACCAAACGUAAAAAUCCUGGGCUGGAAGAACUACUUGAUCUAAAGUUUUCAGCUUAGAGAUGGGUAGUUCUACUUCUUGGAUGCUUUUACCAUUAUGAGAAAGGUAGGCCACAGGCUAGAAAGAAAUACUGCGUAACUGAGUGAGAGUGCUCAGGGUAUGAGAAGCAGGUAAGAGCUUUUCUCUUUCUCUGUCAGCACUUAAAGUGUUGUCAACACAGAAACACUUAGCUCACCUCUCUACAAACAUCAGGUGCAAAUGUUACCUGAAAUGGCAACUGCAACUGGGAAGUCCUGCUGGUUUCAGUUAGCAACUACAUCUGAAAUGUAGCAAGGGAAGCCUGUUUAUUCUGUUGUCUGGGUAUGUGGAUUCCACAAGAGGUGGUAAUACAGGCUGUUUUAAGAAGACUAACCUUUAUAAUUGUCUUAAAAACAAAAACAAACUUACAAAAAAACCCCACAACUGCAUAGCUGCUUUUAUGGUACCCUUCCAACUGGCCAGCACCGCAUCAUAACAUACAGGUCUGUCUCUGCUCUUUGCUAUUCUAUAUGUUUUUUGAUAAUAUAAUGAAAAAAGAUGUAUAGCUAGCUCUUUGCUUCUGUCUUUACCUGUGUGAUAGCAUGUGGAUCAAAGGUUAAGCUGAUCUUAUAAAGCUAGCUGUGAAACCUGAAGUCUGUGCUCACUGAUCUCGAGCUGCAGCUCUGUGUGUUUGAAAGACUUGUGGCUGUGCUGAAGUGUCUCCAAGCAAUGGGCUCUGUAUUCCCAUUCUGUAUCCAUACCUAAUUAACCAGAAUGUGUGGGUAGCACUGUGUGACUGUGACCUGAAAGUGUAUCUGGAAACAGAUGAUAC